GCCAGCCAUGGUGUGCAGGCCUGUAGUCCCAGCUACUCGGGAGAUCGAGGCAGGAGGAUCGCUUGAGCCCAGGAGUUCUGGGCUGUAGUGUGCUAUGGCCGAUCCAGUGUCUGUACUAAGUUUAGCAUCAAUAUGGUAACCUCCCAGGAACAGGGGACCACCAGGUUGUCUAAGGACGGGUAGACCAGCCCAGGUUGGAAAUGGAGCAGGUCGAAACUCCUAUGCUGACCAGCAGUGGGAUGGUGCCUGUGAAUAGCCACUGCACUUCAGCCUGGACAACAUAGUGAGACCCUGUCUCU
rnacentral:SRP_RNA from 1 species